rnacentral:rRNA from 1 species
UGGGGAAUUUUGGGCAAUGGGCGAAAGCCUGAUCCAGCAAUGCCGCGUGUGUGAAGAAGGCCUUCGGGUUGUAAAGCACUUUUGUCCGGAAAGAAAUCCUCUGGGUUAAUACCUCGGGGGGAUGACGGUACCGGAAGAAUAAGCACCGGCUAACUACGUGCCAGCAGCCGCGGUAAUACGUAGGGUGCAAGCGUUAAUCGGAAUUACUGGGCGUAAAGCGUGCGCAGGCGGUUUUGUAAGACGGAUGUGAAAUCCCCGAGCUUAACCUGGGAACUGCAUUCGUGACUGCAAGGCUAGAGUAUGGCAGAGGGGGGUAGAAUUCCACGUGUAGCAGUGAAAUGCGUAGAGAUGUGGAGGAAUACCGAUGGCGAAGGCAGCCCCCUGGGCCAAUACUGACGCUCAUGCACGAAAGCGUGGGGAGCAAACAGGAUUAGAUACCCUGGUAGUCCACGCCCUAAACGAUGUCAACUAGUUGUUGGGGAUUCAUUUCCUUAGUAACGUAGCUAACGCGUGAAGUUGACCGCCUGGGGAGUACGGUCGCAAGAUUAAAACUUAAAUGAAUUGACGGGG